rnacentral:rRNA from 1 species
UACGUAGGGUGCGAGCGUUGUCCGGAAUUACUGGGCGUAAAGAGUUCGUAGGCGGUUUGUCGCGUCGUUCGUGAAAACUUGGGGCUUAACUCCAAGCGUGCGGGCGAUACGGGCAGACUUGAGUACUACAGGGGAGACUGGAACUCCUGGUGUAGCGGUGAAAUGCGCAGAUAUCAGGAGGAACACCGGUGGCGAAGGCGGGUCUCUGGGUAGUAACUGACGCUGAGGAACGAAAGCGUGGGUAGCGAACAGG